rnacentral:rRNA from 1 species
CACAAGCGGUGGAGCAUGUGGUUUAAUUCGAUGCAACGCGAAGAACCUUACCUGGGCUUGACAUCCCGGGAAUCCCUUGGAAACAAGGGAGUGCCCUUCAGGGAACCUGGAGACAGGUGCUGCAUGGCUGUCGUCAGCUCGUGUCGUGAGAUGUAGGGUUAAGUCCCGCAACGAGCGCAACCCCUACGUUUAGUUGCUAACGCGUGAAGGCGAGCACUCUAGACGAACUGCCGUUGACAAAACGGAGGAAGGUGGGAUGACGUCAAAUCAUCAUGCCCCUUAUGUUCUGGGCUACACACGUGCUACAAUGGCCGGUACAGACGGACGCAAAGCCGCGAGGUGGAGCAAAUCCUAAAAAGCCGGUCUCAGUUCGGAUUGCAGGCUGCAAUUCGCCUGCAUGAAGUCGGAAUCGCUAGUAAUCGCAGGUCAGCAUACUGCGGUGAAUACGUUCCCGGGCCUU